rnacentral:rRNA from 1 species
AGAGUUUGAUCAUGGCUCAGAUUGAACGCUGGCGGCAGGCCUAACACAUGCAAGUCGAACGGUAACAGGAAGCAGCUUGCUGCUUUGCUGACGAGUGGCGGACGGGUGAGUAAUGUCUGGGAAACUGCCUGAUGGAGGGGGAUAACUACUGGAAACGGUGGCUAAUACCGCAUAACGUCGCAAGACCAAAGAGGGGGACCUUCGGGCCUCUUGCCAUCAGAUGUGCCCAGAUGGGAUUAGCUUGUUGGUGAGGUAACGGCUCACCAAGGCGACGAUCCCUAGCUGGUCUGAGAGGAUGACCAGCCACACUGGAACUGAGACACGGUCCAGACUCCUACGGGAGGCAGCAGUGGGGAAUAUUGCACAAUGGGCGCAAGCCUGAUGCAGCCAUGCCGCGUGUAUGAAGAAGGCCUUCGGGUUGUAAAGUACUUUCAGCGGGAGGAAGGUGUUGUGGUUAAUAACCACAGCAAUUGACGUUACCCGCAGAAGAAGCACCGGCUAACUCCGUGCCAGCAGCCGCGGUAAUACGGAGGGUGCAAGCGUUAAUCGGAAUUACUGGGCGUAAAGCGCACGCAGGCGGUCUGUCAAGUCGGAUGUGAAAUCCCCGGGCUCAACCUGGGAACUGCAUUCGAAACUGGCAGGCUUGAGUCUUGUAGAGGGGGGUAGAAUUCCAGGUGUAGCGGUGAAAUGCGUAGAGAUCUGGAGGAAUACCGGUGGCGAAGGCGGCCCCCUGGACAAAGACUGACGCUCAGGUGCGAAAGCGUGGGGAGCAAACAGGAUUAGAUACCCUGGUAGUCCACGCCGUAAACGAUGUCUACUUGGAGGUUGUGCCCUUGAGGCGUGGCUUCCGGAGCUAACGCGUUAAGUAGACCGCCUGGGGAGUACGGCCGCAAGGUUAAAACUCAAAUGAAUUGACGGGGGCCCGCACAAGCGGUGGAGCAUGUGGUUUAAUUCGAUGCAACGCGAAGAACCUUACCUGGUCUUGACAUCCACAGAACUUUCCAGAGAUGGAUUGGUGCCUUCGGGAACUGUGAGACAGGUGCUGCAUGGCUGUCGUCAGCUCGUGUUGUGAAAUGUUGGGUUAAGUCCCGCAACGAGCGCAACCCUUAUCCUUUGUUGCCAGCGGUUAGGCCGGGAACUCAAAGGAGACUGCCAGUGAUAAACUGGAGGAAGGUGGGGAUGACGUCAAGUCAUCAUGGCCCUUACGACCAGGGCUACACACGUGCUACAAUGGCGCAUACAAAGAGAAGCGACCUCGCGAGAGCAAGCGGACCUCAUAAAGUGCGUCGUAGUCCGGAUUGGAGUCUGCAACUCGACUCCAUGAAGUCGGAAUCGCUAGUAAUCGUGGAUCAGAAUGCCACGGUGAAUACGUUCCGGGCCUUGUACACACCGCCCGUCACACCAUGGGAGUGGGUUGCAAAAGAAGUAGGUAGCUUAACCUUCGGGAGGGCGCUUACCACUUUGUGAUUCAUGACUGGGGGUGAAGUCGUAACAAGGUAACCGUAGGGGAACCUGCGGUUGGAUCACCU